rnacentral:lncRNA from 1 species
AAAAAAAAAAGGAAUAAAAAUGGAAUAUAUCAUAAACAGUCAGAAUAUAAAUUUGUUAAACAGUGAAAGGGAUAUUUUAGGAAGAAACAAAAUAAACGCUGAAUUAUUUUUUUUUGAAGUGUUAAAUGUGAUAAUUAACAAUCAAGAAAAAAGAAAUAGUAACAAUUAUAACAGUUGCAAUAGUCACAAAUACAAUAGCAAUAACGGUGCUUUCAAAAAUGAUGAAUAUGUAAACUAUAACAUAUUUUGUGAAGGUGUUUUUUCUUCAUUAAUAAAAAAAAAUGUAUGUUUUUUUCAUGAAGAGAGUAAAAAUGGUUUAUUAAACAUUAGUAAUGAUAAUGUUGGAACGAAUAAUGGUAAUGACAACCUCUUAAAAAAUAAAACAAACAACCAUUAUAAUGUAAUAAAAAGAGAUAAAAAUAGAAAUAUAGAUAAUAGCACAUCGAAAUGGAGCUCUAACUUAGAACAUGUAUAUUGUAAUAAUAGUAGAAAUAAAAAACUAGAACUUCAAUUAAAUAACAAAACAGAAUCUAAUUUUUGUAUGUAUAUUUCUAAUUCAUGUUAUUAUGAUAAAAAUGUAGAUAACAUUAUACUAAAUAAUUGUAUAGAAGAAGAAGAAGAAGAAGAAGAAAAAAAAAAAAAGACGAAUGAAUAUAGGAACUUAAACUAUAAUAGUUCAACUGCUUGCACUACUAAUAAAAAAAAAUAUUUUCAAAAUUGUACUAAUAUGAAUAAAAAAACAUUUGACAGUUUAAAAAAAAAAAAAAAAAAAAGCAACAGUUUGUAUGAUGUUAAUAGUAUGGUGAAUCUUCAUAAUAUAAAUAAAAAUGAUUACGUUGUUAUAAAUAGAGAUGAUAAAUAUGAUUGUGAUAAACAAAACAAAGAUGCUUUAAAAAGUAUUAACGAAAAAAAAAAAAAAAUAAAUAAUAAUAAUAAUAAUAACUUGGGUACGAACAAUGGAAGUAAGAACAUUUAUAAUAACAUAUUGGAGUGUGUUAAAAAAUGUACCGAUAGUGGUAGUAGCAGUAAUAAUACUAAUAAUAACAAUAAUAAUAGUAAAGGUAGCAAAGAAAAAGCAUAUGAUAAUUCAGUUCAUAAACAUGGCAAUAGUUGUGAUGGUAAUGGAAGUGAUGAAAAUUGUGGUGGUAACAGUGGCGGUAAUAGUAGCGGUAAUAGCAGUGGUAAUAGCGGUGGUAACGAUGAUGGGAAUGACAAAAAUAGAGAUGAAGAAAAAGAUGAAGAAAAAGAUGAAGAUGAAGAAAAAGAUGAAGAAAAAGAUGAAGAAAAAGAUGAAGAUGAAGAAAAAGAUGAAGAUAGAAAAAAAGAUGAAGAUGGAAAAAAAAACGAAGAUGGAAAAAAAAACGAAGAUGAAGAAAAAAAUGAAGAUGGAAAAAAAAACGAAGAUGAAGAAAAAGAUGAAGAUGAAGAAAAAAAUGAAGAUGAAGAAAAAAAUGAAGACGAAGAAAAAAAUGAAGAUGAAAAAAAAAAUGAAGAUGAAGAAAAAAAUGAAGAUGAAGAAAAGGACUCAACUAAAAAAGCAAGUGAUAAUGAAUCCAAUAGUAGAAACCAUAAAAAUAAUAGUAACAAUAUAAAUUAUGGUGAGUGUUCUAUAAGCAUAAAUGAUUACAAAAUUGACAAUGUUGCUACUAGUGGUAUUACUAAAAUAGAAAACAUCAACAGUUUCAAAGAAGGUAUAGAAAUAGGUAAUAGUGAAAAUAUAAUAAAAAAUGGUGUUACGAACAAUUACAAUAAUAUUAAUAAUAACAUUUUUAUUAAUAAUAAAACAAAUGGUUAUACUAACACUAAUAUGAAUGGAGUAAUAAAAUGUUUCGAACAAGAUCAGAUUUUAAAUGAACAACAAAAAAAAAUAUUAUUAAAUAAUAGUAAACUAUCUGAACAUAUACAAUUAAGCAUGAAUAUGCAAAAUAAAAUAGCUUUUCAGGACAUAAAUGGCUGUAAAAAUAAUAUGGAUAACAUAAAUGGUAGCAAUUGUGAUAUAUCAAAUUUGAAUUGUGCUAAUAGCAUGAAUUGUGGUAAUAACAUGAAUUGUGCUAAUAACAUGAAUUGUGCUAAUAACAUGAAUUGUGGUAAUAACAUGAAUUGUGGUAAUAACAUGAAUUGUGGUAAUAACAUGAAUUGUGGUAAUAACAUGAAUUGUGGUAAUAAUGUUGCUAAUACCGCUGUUAAUACGAUGACACAAUAUAAUAAUACAAAGAAUAAUGAUGUUGUAUCAUCAAUAAAUAAAAAUAUAAAUAAUACCGUUUCAUAUUAUAACAAUAAAAAUACAUCCAUACCAUCCGAAAUGGCAACUAAUAUAAAUAAUGUAAACAGUAUUACUAGUAUGUCUAACAAACUACACAGGAUAAAUAAACAAAACGAAAUAGUCAUGUCAGUGGGUAUAAAUGGUAACACGACAGACCCGUCUAUGAUAAAUACUGAUGUUGCUACUAAUACAUGUACAACUAAUGUUACAAUAAAUAAUACUAACACCAGUGCCACCGAUAGCAAUAGUAAUAGUAAUACUGUUAUAAAAGAAAGUAUUAACGAACAUUUUCACCCAGUUAAUAAAAAACAAAAAACAGAUAGACGUAGUUCUGCAGAUAUUAAUACAAAACAUGAUGGCGACGAAACUAAUGGCACCGUCAUGACUAAUAGUAUACCUGUUAGUGUUAAUUCACCUGUUAAUAAUAUGGGGAAUGUGUAUCACAUAAGUGGGGUAAAUGGUGCUACUGCUAUUUCAUCUAACACAUUGAAUAAUGUAAUGAUGUCAAGAAUAAAUACUAUAAAUAUACCAAAGAAUUUAACUGCGACCUACAAUACAAUGAAUGUGCCUUUAAACAACAAUAUGCCUUCUUAUAAUAUACGUGUAGCAUCAUCAUCACAGCUACCGACAUUACCACCACGUUCGCAAUUACCUACCGAGUAUAAUAACAUUGUUAAUGGUAAUAGUAAUAUUAAUGGUAAUAAUAAUAGUAAUAGUAAUAGUAGUAAUAAUAGUAAUAGUAAUAGUAAUAGUAGUAAUAAUAAUAGUAAUGGUAAUAGUAAUAAUAAUAAUAAUAGUAAUAGUAGUAGUAGUAAUAAUAAUAGUAGUAAUAAUAAUAAUAGUAAUAGUAGUACUAAUACUAUUAAUGAUAACAACAGUAAUAGCAGUAGUACUAAUAUUAUUAAUGAUAACAACAGUAAUAAUAGCAACAGUAACACUAGAGUUAGUAGUAACAAUAACAAUAGGAUUAGUGGUAAUAACAGUAUGAUUAAUCCGAUGACUGCUUGUGGUAAUAGUUUUAUCCAUAACGGUACAGUAAAUAUUUUACCUAAUAAUACAAACAUAUCUAUUAAUGAUACACAUAACGGUAUUAUGAACAAUGUAGUUACUAAUCCUAUAUACAAUAAUAUGAUUAUGAAUAAUAAUGUAAAUGAUAAUAUGCAUGGUAUUUUAUAUAAUAACAUGUACAACAAUAUGCAUACAAAUAUGUAUAACAAUAUGCAUAAUAACAUAUAUAACAAUAUACAUAAUAAUAUAUAUAACAACAUGCAUAAUAAUAUGUACAACCAUAUGCAUAAUAAUAUGUACAAUAAUAUGCAUAAUACCAUGCAUAGUAAUAUACGUAAUAACAUACACAACAACCUUGCUAACAAUAUUAUUAUAAAUCCAAAUGGAGGUUAUAAUCAAUUUUAUACUUAUAAUAAUAGUAAUAAUAAUAAUAAUAAUAAUAAUAAUAAUAACCUUAAUAAAAAUAUAUAUAUAAAAAAUAUAAAUAAUAAUAGGAAUACCAAAGAUGGAAUAAUAAGAAGUGAAAACUUAAAUGGUUAUGAAGGUAUAACAACAGAUAAUAUUAUAAAUAGUGUUAAAGUUGAUACUAAUAAAUUUAUGAAUGUUGGUAGUAUUAUUGGUGGUAUUACUAAUUUAAAUAACUGUAUUAAUAGUAAUGAACGUAUUGGUAAUAAUAUCCGUAUUGUUAGUAACAACAGUAGCAAUCUUACUACUACUACUACUACUACUACUUCUACUCCUAAUAAUAAUAAUAACAAUAAUAGUGGUAGUGGUAGUAGUAGUAGUGGUAAUAAUAUUAUAAAAAAUAUACGUAUUGAAAAUUUACAAACUAAUUAUGACAAUACCAUUAAUUUAAAAGAUAUUAAUGGAGUAGACAUUAGCUCUUUUUUUAUUAAUAAAAAAUAUUGUUCGAAAUUAAAAAAAAAUGAAAGAAUAUUUAACAUAGUAUAUUUUUUGGUUAAUAACUCUUUGCAUAAUCAUUCCAUUAGUAUAGUAAAAAAUGAAUCGGAUGAGUAUGAAUGUAAAGUGGUAGUAGAUAAUAAUAAUUCUGUACAAAUAAAAAUGGAAGAAGAAAAUGGGGAAGAAAAUGGGGAAGAAAAUGGGGAAGAAAAUGGGGAAGAAAAUGGGGAAGAAAAUGGCGAAGAAAAUGGGGAAGAAAAUGGCGAAGAAAAUGGGGAAGAAAAUGGCGAAGAAAAUGGGGAAGGACCGAGUCAUUACAAUUUGGUAAAAAGAAAUUCGAAACAAGUUGAGGUUUAUGAUGAAAAGGUUUAUGAAAGUGGUAAUACGACUGCUACAUGUGGUAUUCCUGAUACGGAUGAUUUAAAUGGCGGAUGUGAUGACGAGGGUGAGAAUGGACAUAAUUAUAAAAAUAAUAAAAUCGAGAGUGAAAAAUCUGAUAAGAAAAAUGUGAGAUUGAAAAAAGAGGAUUACAACAGUAGUAAUACCAAUUUCAACAAUAGCAGUAAUACUGAUACGAAUUCACAUUUAAACGAAAAAAAUAAAGAAUUCCAUAAAAAUAUAAAUAAAGAAAAUAAAAAAUGUGACACAUUGGAUGUAGAAACUGAAAGUAACAGUCAUAGUCAUAGUGAAUGUGCAGAAGAAAAAAGGAACUCUGUAGAAAGAAAUGAAGCUAAUAAUGGACAUAUUGAAAAAAUAGAAAAAGGUAUAAGUUUAUUUAAAAAAGCAGAUCGUGAAAUUAUAUGUUCACAAUAUAAUUUUUCUAAUACAAGCGAAGAAGAAGAAGAAGAAGAAGAUACAAUUACAGGUAGAGUAGGUAGAGUAGGAAGAGUAGAAAAAGGAGUAGAUGAAGUGGAAGAUAGUGAUGACAAAAAAAAAAAAAAAAAGAAAAAAAAGAAAAAAAAAAGCAACAUUAAUACAAAUAACAAAAAGUAUAUGUUCCAUUAUUAAUAUACAACAAUUACCUCCUGUAAAUGUACGCUUAAAUAACCCCAACUUAAUAUAUGACCCUAAUUACGAAAUUAUACAUUCAAAAUGGAAAUCUUUUAUACGAAAAGAACAUACAACUGGUC